rnacentral:rRNA from 1 species
GACGGAGGAGGCUAGCGUUGUUCGGAAUUACUGGGCGUAAAGCGUACGCAGGCGGUUCAUCAAGUCGGAUGUGAAAGCCCGGGGCUCAACCUCGGAAUUGCGCCCGAGACUGAUGGACUUGAGGUCGAGAGAGGAGAGCGGAAUUCCCAGUGUAGAGGUGAAAUUCGUAGAUAUUGGGAAGAACACCGGUGGCGAAGGCGGCUCUCUGGCUCGAUCCUGACGCUCAAGUACGAAAGCGUGGGGAGCAAACAGG